AUGCCUCAACUUGAUAAAUUAACUUAUUUCUCACAAUUCUUCUGGUUAUGUCUUCUCCUCUUUACUUUUUAUAUUCUCUUAUUUAAUAAUAAUAAUAAUAUACUUGGAAUUAGUAGAAUUCUCAAACUACGGAACCAACUGCUUUCGCACCAGGGGGGCGAGAUCCGGAGCAAGGACCCUAAGAAUCUGGAAGAUAUCUCGAGAAAAGGUUUUAGCACCAGUCUCUCAUAUAUGUACUCAGACUUUGGUUUGGGGGCUGCUGACCCCUUCGUGUCGACAAGGAAACUGUGGACGACAAUGGGUUUAGAAUUCGAAUAA
rnacentral:rRNA from 1 species